rnacentral:rRNA from 1 species
GAUGAACGCUGGCGGCGUGCCUAACACAUGCAAGUCGAGCGAAGCACUUUGCUUAGAUUCUUCGGAUGAAGAGGAUUGUGACUGAGCGGCGGACGGGUGAGUAACGCGUGGGUAACCUGCCUCAUACAGGGGGAUAACAGUUAGACAUGACUGCUAAUACCGCAUAAGACCACAGCACCGCAUGGUGCGGGGGUGAAAACUCCGGUGGUAUGAGAUGGACCCGCGUCUGAUUAGCUAGUUGGUAAGGUAACGGCUUACCAAGGCGACGAUCAGUAGCCGACCUGAGAGGGUGACCGGCCACAUUGGGACUGAGACACGGCCCAAACUCCUACGGGAGGCAGCAGUGGGGAAUAUUGCACAAUGGGGGAAACCCUGAUGCAGCGACGCCGCGUGAGCGAAGAAGUAUUUCGGUAUGUAAAGCUCUAUCAGCAGGGAAGAAAAUGACGGUACCUGACUAAGAAGCACCGGCUAAAUACGUGCCAGCAGCCGCGGUAAUACGUAUGGUGCAAGCGUUAUCCGGAUUUACUGGGUGUAAAGGGAGCGUAGACGGAUGGGCAAGUCUGAUGUGAAAACCCGGGGCUCAACCCCGGGACUGCAUUGGAAACUGUUCAUCUAGAGUGCUGGAGAGGUAAGUGGAAUUCCUAGUGUAGCGGUGAAAUGCGUAGAUAUUAGGAGGAACACCAGUGGCGAAGGCGGCUUACUGGACAGUAACUGACGUUGAGGCUCGAAAGCGUGGGGAGCAAACAGG